rnacentral:rRNA from 1 species
AUGCAAGUCGAAUGGUAACAGGAAACAGCUUGCUGUUUCGCUGACGAGUGGCGGACGGGUGAGUAAUGUCUGGGAAACUGCCUGAUGGAGGGGGAUAACUACUGGAAACGGUAGCUAAUACCGCAUAACGUCGCAAGACCAAAGAGGGGGACCUUCGGGCCUCUUGCCAUCAGAUGUGCCCAGAUGGGAUUAGCUAGUAGGUGGGGUAACGGCUCACCUAGGCGACGAUCCCUAGCUGGUCUGAGAGGAUGACCAGCCACACUGGAACUGAGACACGGUCCAGACUCCUACGGGAGGCAGCAGUGGGGAAUAUUGCACAAUGGGCGCAAGCCUGAUGCAGCCAUGCCGCGUGUAUGAAGAAGGCCUUCGGGUUGUAAAGUACUUUCAGCGGGGAGGAAGGGAGUAAAGUUAAUACCUUUGCUCAUUGACGUUACCCGCAGAAGAAGCACCGGCUAACUCCGUGCCAGCAGCCGCGGUAAUACGGAGGGUGCAAGCGUUAAUCGGAAUUACUGGGCGUAAAGCGCACGCAGGCGGUUUGUUAAGUCAGAUGUGAAAUCCCCGGGCUCAACCUGGGAACUGCAUCUGAUACUGGCAAGCUUGAGUCUCGUAGAGGGGGGUAGAAUUCCAGGUGUAGCGGUGAAAUGCGUAGAGAUCUGGAGGAAUACCGGUGGCGAAGGCGGCCCCUGGACGAAGACUGACGCUCAGGUGCGAAA